AGGACGAACGCUGGCGGCGUGCUUAACACAUGCAAGUGGAGCGACGAACCAGGCUUCGGCCUGGGGCAGAGCCGCGAACGGGUGAGUAACACGUGGGUAACCUGCCCUGAUGAUUGGGACAACCCGAGGAAACUCGGGCUAAUACCAAAUGUGACCUCCGGCCAUAAGGCCGCUGGGGAAAGGAAGCUUCGGCCUCCGCAUCGGGAUGGGCCCGCGGCCCAUUAGCUUGUUGGUGAGGUAACGGCUCACCAAGGCUACGAUGGGUAGCUGGUCUGAGAGGACGAUCAGCCACACUGGGACUGAGACACGGCCCAGACUCCUACGGGAGGCAGCAGUGGGGAAUAUUGGACAAUGGGCGCAAGCCUGAUCCAGCCAUGCCGCGUGGAUGAUGAAGGCCCUAGGGUUGUAAAGUCCUUUCGACGGGGAAGAUAAUGACGGUACCCGUAGAAGAAGCCCGGCUAACUUCGUGCCAGCAGCCGCGGU
rnacentral:rRNA from 1 species